rnacentral:rRNA from 1 species
GUCCAGACUCCUACGGGAGGCAGCAGUGGGGGAUAUUGCACAAUGGGGGGAACCCUGAUGCAGCGACGCCGCGUGGGUGAAGAAGCGCCUCGGCGCGUAAAGCCCUGUCAGCAGGGAAGAAAAUGACGGUACCUGACUAAGAAGCCCCGGCUAACUACGUGCCAGCAGCCGCGGUAAUACGUAGGGGGCAAGCGUUAUCCGGAUUUACUGGGUGUAAAGGGAGCGUAGACGGCAGUGCAAGUCCGGAGUGAAAGCCCGGGGCUCAACCCUGGGACUGCUCUGGAAACUGUAAAGCUGGAGUGCGGGAGGGGCAGGCGGAAUUCCUGGUGUAGCGGUGAAAUGCGUAGAUAUCAGGAGGAACACCGGCGGCGAAGGCGGCCUGCUGGACCGUAACUGACGUUGAGGCUCGAAAGCGUGGGGAGCAAACAGGAUUAGAUACCCUCGUAC